rnacentral:rRNA from 1 species
UACGUAGGCAGCGAGCGUUGUUCGGAGUUACUGGGCGUAAAGAGUGCGUAGGCGGUUUUCUAAGUUUGGUGUGAAAUCUCCCGGCUUAACUGGGAGGGUGCGCCGAAAACUGGAAGGCUUGAGUAUGGGAGAGGUAAGCGGAAUUCCUGGUGUAGCGGUGAAAUGCGUAGAUAUCAGGAGGAACACUUGCGGUGUAGACGGCUUACUGGACCAUAACUGACGCUGAGGCACGAAGGCCAGGGGAGCAAACGGG